rnacentral:SRP_RNA from 1 species
UUAUCGUUGCAUGAUGAUGUAGUGAACUUGGUCAGGUUGGGAACAAAGCAGCCAUAACUACAGAUAUUUCAGUGCAAAAGAUUUUA